rnacentral:piRNA from 1 species
UCCAUUGUCUUAGGCAAAGUUAACACCUAAC